UACGUAGGGUCCGAGCGUUGUCCGGAAUUACUGGGCGUAAAGAGCUCGUAGGUGGUUUGUCGCGUUGUUCGUGAAAACUCACAGCUCAACUGUGGGCGUGCGGGCGAUACGGGCAGACUAGAGUACUGCAGGGGGAGACUGGAAUUCCUGGUGUAGCGGUGGAAUGCGCAGAUAUCAGGAGGAACACCAGUGGCGAAGGCGGCCUGCUGGGCUACUGCUGACACUGAUGCGCGACAGCGUGGGGAGCAAACAGG
rnacentral:rRNA from 1 species